rnacentral:rRNA from 1 species
UACGGAGGGUGCGAGCGUUGUCCGGAAUCACUGGGCGUAAAGGGCGCGUAGGCGGUCUGCUAAGCGUGCGGUGAAAGCCUGGGGCUCAACCCCAGGUCUGCCGUGCGAACUGGUGGACUCGAGCACUGUAGAGGCAGGUGGAAUUCCCGGUGUAGCGGUGAAAUGCGCAGAUAUCGGGAGGAACACCAAUGGCGAAGGCAGCUCGCUGGGACGGUACUGACGCUGAGACGCGAAAGCGUGGGGAGCAAACAGG